GAUGCUACGGCAUCGAAGCAGUCUAUGUCAUACUUCCAAGAAAAGCUUGCACUGUCAUAAACAAAGAAUGCCUGUACCAUAACCGACACAGGUGGGUAGGUAGAGUAUACUAAGGGGCGCGAGAUAACUCUCUCUAAGGAACUCGGCAAAAUGACUCCGUAACUUCGGGAGAAGGAGUGCCUUAUUUCUAAGGUUGCAAUAACAAGAUCCAAGCAACUGUUUACCAAAAACACAGGUCUCCGCUAAGUCGUAAGACGAUGUAUGGGGGCUGACGCCUGCCCAGUGCCAGAAGGUUAAAGAAGUUGGUUAGCAUUAGCGAAGCUGAUAACUGAAGCCCUGGUGAACGGCGGCCGUAACAAUAACGGCCCUAAGGUAGCGGAAUUCCUUGUCGGGUAAGUUCCGACCCGCACGAAAGGCGUAAUGAUUUGGAUACUGUCUCGGAGAGGGGCUCGGUGAAAUAGACUUGUCUGUGAAGAUGCGGACUACCUGCACCUGGACAGAAAGACCCUAUGAAGCUUUACUGUAACUUGAGAUUGAGAUUGGACUUUAUUUGCGCAGUAUAGGUGGGAGGCGUUGAGAAUAAUCUUGCGGGAUUGUUGGAGCCAUCAGUGAGAUACCACUCUUGUAAUGUUAGAUUUCUAACUUUGUAUCAUUAUCUGGUCAAAGAACAGUUUCAGGCGGGCAGUUUGACUGGGGCGGUCGCCUCCCAAAGGGUAACGGAGGCGCACAAAGGUUUCCUCUGAACGGGUAGAAAUCGUAUCUAGAGUGUAAAGGCAUAAGGAAGCUUGACUGUGAGACCUACAAGUCGAGCAGGGACGAAAGUCGGUCUUAGUGAUCUGACGGUGCUGAGUGGAAAGGCCGUCACUCAACGGAUAAAAGUUACUCUAAGGAUAACAGGCUGAUCUCCCCCAAGAGUUCACAUCGACGGGGAGGUUUGGCACCUCGAUGUCGGCUCAUCGCAUCCUGGGGCGGUAGUCCGUCCCAAGGGUUGGGCUGUUCGCCCAUGAAAGCGGUACGCGAGCUGGGUUCAGAACGUCGUGAGACAGUUCGGUCCAUAUCCGGUGUAGGCGUUAGAAUAUUGAGAGGAGCCUUCUCUAGUACGAGAGGACCGAGAAGGACAUACCUCUGGUGUACCAGUUAUCGUGCCAACGGUAAACGCUGGGUAGCUAUGUAUGGAGUGGAUAACCGCUGAAAGCAUCUAAGUGGGAAGCCCACCUCAAGAUAAG
rnacentral:rRNA from 1 species